rnacentral:rRNA from 1 species
UGGGGGAUAUUGCACAAUGGGGGAAACCCUGAUGCAGCAACGCCGCGUGAGGGAAGAAGGUUUUCGGAUUGUAAACCUCUGUCCUUGGUGACGAUAAUGACGGUAGCCAAGGAGGAAGCUCCGGCUAACUACGUGCC